rnacentral:rRNA from 1 species
CCUACGGGGGGCAGCAGUGAGGAAUAUUGGUCAAUGGGCGGAAGCCUGAACCAGCCAAGUAGCGUGCAGGAUGACGGCCCUACGGGUUGUAAACUGCUUUUAUACGGGAAUAACGCGCCUUACGUGUAGGGCUUUGCAUGUACCGUAUGAAUAAGGACCGGCUAAUUCCGUGCCAGCAGCCGCGGUAAUACGGAAGGUCCGGGCGUUAUCCGGAUUUAUUGGGUUUAAAGGGAGCGUAGGCCGCAUGUCAAGCGUGCUGUUAAAGGUCCGGGCUCAACCCGGGCCUUGCAGCGCGAACUGGCGUGCUUGAGUCCGCGGAAAGCAGGCGGAAUGCGUCGUGUAGCGGUGAAAUGCUUAGAUAUGACGAAGAACCCCGAUUGCGAAGGCAGCUUGCUGCAGCGGAACUGACGCUGAUGCUCGAAAGCGUGGGUAUCGAACAGGAUUAGAUACCCGGGUAGUC